CCUUUAGAUGAAGAAGAUCUAGUUGCUUAUAUUUUAAACUGGUUAGAUGAAGAUUUUGAACCUGUUGUAUCCGCUAUUGUGGCACGAAAUGAGUCGGUCACAUUAGGGGAAGUCUACUCUCAACUUCUUAAUUUUGGGA
rfam:Oryza glumipatula chromosome 12, whole genome shotgun sequence.